AUUGUAGUCUUUUUAAAAAGACUUUAUUACACGUUGCUGCAGUUCACUCGGUUGUAGAAAUGAGUUUCGAGGGCACUGGUGCCAAUUUGUAACAGCCUUUGCAUUUCCCCUGGAUAAAAUUGUUGGUGUGGAGACGGGAAGCUGGUCUUUCAUACAAAAGGUUUGCCCGGAG